UCCUCAGGGAAAAAAAGGUGAGGUGCUUUUUAGGGGAAACAAGGAGAGAGAAACCUAGAGAGAAAAGUUCAACACCUUCAGAGACGAUGGCGGUGAGCUCAAAACCACCAAUCAUCCCUUUGACCAUGGUUAUGGGCUUCGAUUCUUCUCAACGUUUUCGGUUUUGGCGAUGCGGUUACGAUUGUGGAAGAUGAUCUAAGGUUACAUUUCCUCCAUUAAAGCAGCUUCUUGAGGACUGGUGAUGAAACUAUUAAGAGGAGAGAAAAUGCGAUAAACGGUGGCGGAGGUUAUGGUGAUGGCGAAGUUUUUGGCAUCAAUUUAAUGAAGCUCAUAAACUUUAUGAGGUACGAGCCAUCAAAAACUCAGAACUAGCUAAGCAGCUUGAAUACAUGCGUGAAUUGAGGUGAAGAAACUCGGGUAUUAUUGGAUGUUCGAUCUUUUUUAAAAAAACAAAAAAAUUAAUUUCUAGAAAAUUUUUCUGUUAAUGUUUGUUUGUGUUUUGUGGAAUUGAUGAAAGAUUACUUUGAUUGAUUGAGAAACAAGAUCAGUUGAAGUUAAAAUAAUUAAAAUCCUAAAUUACAUAUUUCAUCUGUUUUUUUAGUUGACACGUUUCUUUAGUCAUGUUUGCCAAAGUACAUAUUCAACAGUUAAUGUUCUUAAUUAUUGAAAAGCAAAAAUUAUAAAAAGUAGAUGAUGAAUAUAUUUUUCAUUACGUAUAAAUCACAAAACACGGUCAAAGGAAAAUGUGUGAAUAAUGCUAAAGUUAAAUUGUGUCAACUAAAAAAUAAAGGGGGUGAUAUAUAUUUAAUUUUAAAAUAAAAUGGGAAUUUUAUUUUAUGAGCAAACUCACAAUACUUAUGGUGACUUUUGUAAUCAAUUUAAAAUAACAAAUUUUUUUUUCAUUUUAUACUCAUAUUAUCUCAUUCCUCAGAUAUUUGGAUAAUUUUUAUAAGGCUAUUUUUUAAAUAAUUUUAAUCCUAAAUCAUUAUUCAUAGAUUUUUUGUCAACUUGCGUAUUUUGUAAAAUUAAAAUAAAAUCAUCUCAAAUCUUAAUCGAAUUUCAAUAGAUCCGUUUUGUGUAUUUGACAUUUUAACUAACUAUCCUUACAACCUAAAAAUUGCCGCUACAAUUAUAUACUUCUCUUAGCAGUAUUAACUUUUCUUCCUACUUAAAAUUGAAUUAUUCUGAUAAAUCAAUCUUUCUGACAAAUGUUUAACCUUACUUUUCUCUCUUUUCGAAUACGGAAAAAUGAUUUGGUCCGAUUAUAGUUGGCAGAGGGUUAUGUUAAACCUCUAGUGAUAGGGUUAUAAUAUCCAUAUUGUUCAUAUUAUUUAGUUCCAAUAUUUUGUGCAAAUAAAUAAAUUAAACUCUAUGUUGAAAAUUUUAGAGAAUUGUAUAUUUGGCAUAUAUAUAAGUAUCCAAGCAAAAUAUCUAAUGUUUAUUGUAUAGUUUUGAAGAUUAUUUUAGAGAUGACAAAUUCAAUUUGUACAAAGGUUUUUUUUUGUUUUGUUUUUUUUUAAUAUUAUGUUGAUAGGGUUUAGCGAAUAGAUAUUUCAUAAAAAAAAAACAAAUUGGACAGAUGUAAAGUUUAAUGUAGCCGAAUAUAAUACAUCUAUUUUACAAUUUCAUAAAUUACAAAUGGUAAUGUUUUGUAUAAUGCAACUAUGUACAAAUGGUAAUGUUUUAUAUAAUGCAACAAUAUUUUGGUGGGUGGUUAUUCAUCCAUACAACAAUUUUGUGAGAGUUAUUAUUUUACCCAAGCUUUGGUAAUAUUGUUGCACAAAGCAUGUAUUUAUAGUGAAGUAUGUUGAUUCUUAACUUAUAUCACCAUUUUUCCUUGCACUAGUUCUAGAUUUUUCAUAUAAUAUUUAACACAAGAACUAUUUACAAGAUUUUUCCAUACACUAUAAAUUCUAGUUUUUUCUAUUUUAUUCUAGAUAAUCUUCUACACACGAUUUUUCUAGAUUACCGUCAUGUAUCAACAGUUACUGGAGUAGUAACCCAGAGGGUCAAGAUCCUUCGUUCCCUGUUCUUCCUUCCUUUUUAUGCCCUUCCCUUUUAUGCGUCGCGUUGAUAUAUUGAUAAAUUGGGACUACGUUGACUCUUAAUUCAAUCUUGUUUUUCUUCCAUGCAAAAGCUGAAGCUAAGGAAGGGGCAAUUUUUAAUCACUAACUAGUGUGUGGCCCGGCGAUGCCCCAGUUUGCUAGUUUAUACUUGUUGGUUUCGAUUUUAAGUCUUGCUAUAAACAUUUUUUAGCUGCCAAACGCAAUCAUUACAUAAUGGAAACAAAUAGUAUAUAAAACACCAAUUAAGUUAUCAAAGUUAUUAAUUAUAAUUUUGUUGGAUAAAAAAACACAAUUAAUAAAUAGUUAAGAUGGUAAGACUUGUAACUUAAGACUUGUUGGUCUUAAGUUCAAGUCGAGGAGGGAGCGAGAUAAGGAAAUACCCAUAUCAUUAUGUAUAUGAGAAUACAUAAUAUGACAAACUGAAUUGUAAUUAUUUUGAAAGAAACUAGUAUCACAGAAGAGCUUACAUAAUAUGACAAACUUGUAAUUAUUUUGAAAGUUAUUAAUACUAGUAUCACUAAGGGCCUGUUCCGAUUGACUGAACUGAACUGAUUAAUUAGUGAUUUUUAACUACG